rnacentral:lncRNA from 1 species
GGAGGAAGACUCACCAGACCUCCAAGAACUACAGCAUUUUCUGGGACACCAAGCUGAUAGAAUCAAGGCUGGCAAAUGGAGUCAUUCCUUGGGCAAGAGCAAUGUCAGCUCCCGCAGAAGGGCUGGUGCUGUUAUACCCAUGGUGCCAUCAGCCAGCCAACUUUGUGGGAAAGAAAGGAAAUGGAAACUCCUCGGGAACAAGGUCACCCUCAAAGACCAAUGCCAGCAAGUGGAGAAAGAUGGAGAAGACACAGUCAGCAAACCAAGCUGUGGAAAUGCUUCACCUCAGACUCUAGUAACCAUGUUGGCCGUAUAUCGCCAUGCUGCCAUCAUGAUGACAAUGGACUGAACCUCUGAAACUAAGUUGCCGCCCCAACUAAAUGUUUUCCUCGUAAGAGUUGCGUGGUCAUGGCGUCUCUUCAUAGCAACAGAAACCCUGACCAAGACACCACUCUUGCUACCCACGCUGCCAUGGCAUCCCUACACAGGUCUUCUGGAAACACAAAUACAACUCGGAAGACAGCAUUGUAAGGACACAUUUGAGCAUGAGAGCUGAGGAUGGAAGGCCUUCUUUGGUCACAUCUGUGGACCCU